UGGGGAAUAUUGCGCAAUGGGCGAAAGCCUGACGCAGCGACGCCGCGUGAGGGAUGAAGGUUCUCGGAUCGUAAACCUCUGUCAGAAGGAAAGAAAUGUAGCUGUGCUAAUCAGCAGCUAUUUGACGGUACCUUCAAAGGAAGCACCGGCUAACUCCGUGCCAGCAGCCGCGGUAAUACGGAGGGUGCAAGCGUUAAUCGGAAUUACUGGGCGUAAAGCGUGCGUAGGCGGUUUUUUAAGUUAGUGGUGAAAGCCCCGUGCUCAACAUGGGAACUGCCAUUAAAACUGGGAAACUAGAGUGUGUGAGAGGAUAGUGGAAUUCCUGGUGUAGGAGUGAAAUCCGUAGAUAUCAGGAGGAACAUCAGUGGCGAAGGCGACUAUCUGGCACAUAACUGACGCUGAGGUACGAAAGCGUGGGGAUCAAACA
rnacentral:rRNA from 1 species